rnacentral:rRNA from 1 species
UACGGAGGAUCCAAGCGUUAUCCGGAAUCAUUGGGUUUAAAGGGUGCGUAGGCGGCUUUGUAAGUCAGUGGUGAAAUAUGGCAGCUCAACUGUCAGGGUGCCAUUGAUACUGCAGAGCUUGAGUACAGAUGAGGUAGGCGGAAUUGACGGUGUAGCGGUGAAAUGCUUAGAUAUCGUCAAGAACACCGAUAGCGAAGGCAGCUUACUGGGCUGUAACUGACGCUGAGGCACGAAAGUGUGGGGAUCAAACAGG